AUUUAAGGACUUGCAGAGAAGGUAAGGGUUUUUUUUUUUCCAGACAUCCUUGCCUACCUGAGAUCUUCUAAAGUGUUUUUUCUUCUCCAUGAUGCUCUCUGCUCUUCAGGGGUCUGACUAAUAGUAGAAGUGCUACAACACUUUCCGCUGUCUUAGACCGUGUAUUUGCAGCCAAGUGAUGUCAAUCCAAAAGGUUUACAUAAGUAUAAUAAGCAUCCAAAUUUCUGCACUGGACCUCUAUCUAUUAUUUGUUGAUCAUUACUAUGAAGAUCCUUUUUGGGGACCCAGUUCUGCAAAUGGCUAAGUGCGUGAGCAGCUUUCUCAGAUUUAUUGACUCAUGGUCAUUUGCAGGAUCAGAAUAUGGAAUAUUUGUUUUCUAUUCAAUAAAUCUCCCGCUUAAGUUACGUCUUCGUGGCUCCAGGAAAAGACUUCAGUCAUUUAAGAUGAAUGUCUUGAACUCUUCUCAGUGUUGAGAAUCCAUUCUCGGACAAGGAGGCAACAAGCACAUGGGAGAGAAGUCAGAACAAGAGUUUAGCUAGUCCUUAACCUUAGAGAGGGCUGUCUAAUUGUUGCAAUUUACGUAAAAUCAUGAAAUGAUCAUGCCUUCCCCAGGUACAACCCAUUGAAGUUUGUGCUGCAGACUGGUCUCAAGGAGCUCCAGCUGGGCUUCUGCUAGGCAAGCCCAUGAGGAGAGGUGCUGCCCAGCAGCACUCCUGGUGCAUGCCACCUCCUCAUGGGCACCCAGCCAGCCUGGGGCCAGACUGAAGGGAGCCUCGAGCAGCUGUGUGUUGAGGCUGGGUCCUCAGCACCAACUCACUCCAGAGAUCUGCUCCAACUGCAUCAUAUUGCUUGUUGAUACAGGCAAAGCUGUGGCCUUCCCCAAAACCCAUCUUGGUGAUGAAGCUCAAAGUUUUGAAAAUUGCUGAAUGUUCCUCAGGAUAACUGCAAACAGCAAAAGGGAAGCAAGGAAAGAGAAGUUAGGAAAUCUUGUUUGGAUAAAGGCAGCAGAGCCCUUACCUUUCACCCACUUUGUAGCUGAACUUUUCAUACAGUUUAGAGAAAAGACUUAACCUCAUCUUCCUCUAACCUCCUCCCAUACCGCCUCCAUCUCUGGCAGCCUCCUCUGGCUCCUCAUUGUACUGCUGUUUGCAGAACCUCUUGCAGCACCCUGGGCAAGUACACAGCAUUUGAGGGUAUUUCUGAUCCAUUUGGAGACCCUAGAGCUGCUUCUUUCAGUGUUCCCUAGGUGAUCCACCUUGGCUGGGUUCCCUCUACUUGAUAAGAAGACAACAGAAAUACUUGGACCACAGAAAUGAGGGGUAAAGCCUUACCAUAGUGAAGUUAAUAGGAGGUUUUCCUUCACCUUCGACUGGAUGAGAUUUUGCCUGAGAGCUACUUGCCUUUAGCAUCAACGUGAGUGAGCAGUGUGCAGCCACAAAACUUUCAACUGGUUACAAAACUGAACUCAGAAAGAAGAGUUCAGGGCCUGGUCCUGCAGCUCUUCCCCAUUGCUUAGGGAAUGGAUUUAGAAGGUCUUGUAUGACAAGGAAAAUCAAAAAAGUCCUGAAAUUGUGCAUGGUGGCAUCACAAGUGCAUGAGGACAAUUGCUGGGAAUUUGGAAACCUGCACUAUAGUGGGAGAACAGCAUCUGUCAUGUCUUUGUUGCAUUUAGGAUAAGUCAGCCUGUACGCACCAACAGCUGUUUGUGUGAUACUCAGAUAUCACAGCAUUCUCAACCUACUCCCUUCUCUGGGUUAUGGAGAGGGCACUGCCAACACCUCAGAAAUCCCCUCUUGUCGGAAGAUAACUUUUGAGGUAGAGAUGUUUUAAAAAUAACUCCAAAGACAACAAACACAUGAAGGCUAAAGGACAAAUGGGAGGAUGACUGCCGAUUUCACAUUUCUCUCCGUACUUCAGAAUCCAAAUGCUGUAAGGUUUGUUUCCAGUUUCAGACUUCAAUUAUUGUUUUUUUUCUUGACUGAGGAUGAAUGAUGAAAAACAAGAAACUAGUAAUAAUGUUCUACAUCUGUUUGGCAAACAGUUUCUCGUUCUUGCUUUUAGCAUGUUCAACAGCUCUAUGUCUCUGCUGAUCUGAGAAUAUUUAGUGAGCAGCAAGGGUGAAAUAUAUUGACUUCUCAGUGGCUAUAUUAAAAUUGCAAUGAGAAAAACAGAAGAGAGAGAAAACUUCAAAGUUCUACUUCUUGUAUGGCUUGGCACGUUCUUCUUUAUUUAUUAUCUGUACUGGUAUAGUGCCUGCAUCAGGCAGCAGUAGCCUGCUGUGCUUUGGAAAAUGUGUAACAAAAGUAUCCUGCCCAUGGACCUGCCAAGCAAAGUCAGAGAGACUGCAGGGAGCGUAAAAGUCAUAGAAUUGAAGUGAUACGCAACCAGGAGAAAGAUAAGCUUUAGGUCAAGUCUGUGGAGGAGAGAGAGUGGGAUCUUUGUUUCCAGAUGACAAAGCUGUAGGAGGUGGCAUGCAGUGGAAGCUGUUUUCAACACUGAUUUCCUUUAUCACAUUAAACAAUAACUUUUGUUCUCAACAUCUUUUUCUACUCUGGUGGUGGUUUCCUUUUGGAAGCAAAUUGCUCAGCUGGUGUACAAUCCAAGGGCCCAUUUCUCAUACUAACGUUGUGCACACAGAAGGGCCAAGUGGGAGAGGUCCAUCCAGCCCCACAGGAACUGUCAGAAUCUGACAUUCUUUUCUGACCAGAAAAGAAGAAAUGUUGAAGCCCUGGAAAAAAAAAAAAAUUAUGCGCAGCAAAUCCAAAGGAAAUGAACAUUUCAGACUGGGUGAGCAGAUGCCUUAUUUUCCAAACGUUUAUUUUGAUUUUGACCUUUUAAAAAUGUUUCCAAAUUCUUUUUUUUUUUCUUUUUCUCAAAUAACUUCCCAAACCUUUCAAACGGAAAUGCCAUUAUGAAUAUUAGAAAGUAAAUCCUUGGCAUGCUGGAGUGGCCAAAUAUUCCAGCUAUACCCAGACUUUCCUUUUUGCACCAUGAUGCUGCAAGGGUGUGGGAGUUUGGUGCACCAACAGCUCCUUGUUGAGACACAGGAGAGGACGAAGUGGUGGGGACUCUACCCGUGGCAUGGGGCUGGGGCCAGGCUGCUGCUGGAUGCUCCUGCAGAGGCCCUGAGGACCUGCACUUGCUACUAAGCUGUCUCCCACUCUGUGUAGAAGGUACCUGCAAGUGAGGUUUUGACUUAAAGCCAUGUGUACUUGUCUGUACAUGUCAGCUGAGACAGCUGGCGGUACUUAUGGUCCUCAGUGGUCUCAUUUCAUGCCUGACCUAUCCCAGUUUGCUUCUGACCAGACCAAUCCUUCUUAAAAGACAGGUUUUGCCUCCUGUCCCUUUCAGCCAUGACCCAGAUAUUCACUUGGUGAGGAGAUGGGUGCUCUCUGCAUGCUCUGCUCAUGCUGACUGGCUACUUCAUAAUGUAGGAAAAAAAACUGGCAGGAGAGCAUGGAGAGUGUGGACCUCUCCAUGCGUGGAAAGGACCUUAGUUCUUGGGGAAAAGCAGAUAUCUAAUGGAUUUUAGUGGUAUGAAAGAUUUUUGGAGCUCAUCACAAGAUGGGACUCCUUGGCUUCAGGACUGUAUCUUAAACUGAUAUAACGAAUUUCAAUUUUGUUGACUUGCCUAUCAGAAACAAUGAUUCUCUAGCUCUUUGUCUCUGGAGCACAACUCAUGACAGCCAGAAGGCCCUCAGCUGAAAUGCACCACAUUAUGAGCACCUUCCAGGCAUCUCACAUCUGAGUUCCCAAAAUGUCUCUAAAUCCUUCCAAGCCAGACUCCCUUGCUCAGUGGUUUUGGCUGCUAUGGGGAAUUUAUGGCUUUAAUUUUGAUGGAGCCUGAGUUAUGCCAUCAAUCAAAGGAAUAUUUUUCUUACGCACUCACAAGGGGAAAAAAAAAUAGUUUAGUUUCAGGGGAUAACAUGUUAAAUAGGGAAAGUUUUGUGACUGGGAAAGCAAUCUUUUAAAGCACCCAAUCUUUAUCACAAUAUUCUGCCCUUCUGAAAAGAUGAGGACAGAAAUGGCAGAAUGUAUCCCAUGAAGAGCUACUGGCUCAGAG
ensembl:lncRNA